AAGUCGAGCGGAUGACAAGAGCUUGCUCUUCGAUUCAGCGGCGCACGGGUGAGUAAUGCCUAGCGAAUCUGCCUGGUAGUGGAGGACAACGUUUCGAAAGGAACGCUAAUACCGCAUACGUCCUACGGGAGAAAGCAGGGGACCUUCGGGCCUUGCGCUAUCAGAUGAGCCUACGUCGGAUUAGCUAGUUGGUGAGGUAAUGGCUCACCUAGGCUACGAUCCGUAACUGUUCUGAGAGGAUGAUCAGUCACACUGGAACUGACACUCGUUCAACACUAAUACGGGAGGCAGCAGUGGAGAAUAUUGGACAAUGUGCGAAAGCCUGAUCCAGCCAUGCCGCGUGUGUGAAGAAGGUCUUCAGAUUGUAAAGCACUUUAAGUUGGGAUGAAGGUCAUUAACCUCAUACGUUAGUGUUUUGACGUUACCGACAGAAUAAGCACCGGCUAACUCUGUGCCAUCAGCCGCGGUAAUACAGAGGGUGCAAGCGUUAAUCGGAAUUACUGGGCGUAAAGCGCGCGUAGGUGGUUUGUUAAGUUGGAUGUGAAAGCCCCGGGCUCAACCUGGGAACUGCAUCCAAAACUGGCAAGCUAGAGUACGGAAGAGGGUGGUGGAAUUUCCUGUGUAGCGGUGAAAUGCGUAGAUAUAUGAAGGAACACCAGUGGCGAACGCGACCACCUGGACUGAUACUGACACUGAUGUGCGAAAAGCGUGGGGAGCAAACAGGAUUAGAUACCCUGGUAGUCCACGCCGUAAACGAUGUCAACUAGCCGUUGGAAUCCUUGAGAUUUUAGUGGCGCAGCUAACGCAUUAAGUUGACCGCCUGGGGAGUACGGCCGCAAGGUAAAACUCCAAUGAAUUGACGGGGCCAUCCAAGCGUGGAGCAUGUGGUUAAUUCUAAGCACCCGAAAACCUACCAGGCUUGAAUGCAGAGACUUUCCAAAAUGAUGGUGCUUCG
rnacentral:rRNA from 1 species